rnacentral:rRNA from 1 species
CGGGAAUAUUGCACAAUGGAGGAAACUCUGAUGCAGUGACACCGCGUAUAGGAAGAAGGUUUUCGGAUUGUAAACUAUUUUAGACAGGGAAGAAAAAAGACAGUACCUGUAGAAUAAGCUCCGGCUAACUACGUGCCAGCAGCCGCGGUAAUACGUAGGGAGCAAGCGUUAUCCGGAAUUAUUGGGUGUAAAGGGUGCGUAGACGGGACAGCAAGUUAGUUGUGAAAGCCCUCGGCUUAACUGAGGAACUGCAACUAAAACUAUUGUUCUUGAGUGCAGGAGAGGAAAGCGGAAUUCCUAGUGUAGCGGUGAAAUGCGUAGAUAUUAGGAGGAACACCAGUGGCGAAGGCGGCUUUCUGGACUGUAACUGACGUUGAGGCACGAAAGUGUGGGGAGCAAACAGG